AUUACUUUGACAGACAAGUGUGUUAAAUUUAGAAUUUAAAAAAAAAUUAGUAAUUUAAGUAAUA
rnacentral:tRNA from 1 species